UCAAUCUUCGGACCGUCAGUCCACCGAGCAAAAUCACUUGCUUGGUAGAAUAUGCUCCAUUUGUCAU
rnacentral:pre_miRNA from 1 species